CCACUCUCCGUUCUCUCCGUUUCUGGCCUGGGGUUUGCGGUUCCUUUUAAUCUAGUGAGGGUUUGGGGUCAUCUGAAGUAGUCAUCGUCCCCGCCCCUCAGACCCUGUCAUAGAAUUUUACUUAUUCAACUGACUUGGUAUUCUCAUGAGGGACCCAGCAGUGAAAAUAAAACACUGAAUAGAAUCCUGCUGGUUUCUGGAAUUUAUCGGAAGUGGAAGCCAGCUGGUGGCAGCAGAAGAGACAAGAUACAGGAUGCAAGGUGGCAGCAAAAGACACCAGAAUUCCAAAAGAUCAAGGUAUUCUUCCUUAGAAUAAAUGUGACCUAAUUUACAAAUAGUUUUAGGUUUCUCUCAAGUAACUAUUUUAAAUAAGGGACAUCCAGCCAAGCUUUUAUUCAUAUCAUUUUUAUUUAGUAUAUUUUUUUAGAGGGGACCAAAUACACAUUUUGGCUAAGCGCAAUAUAGCUACAUGUUAAAAAUCAAUAUGUGGUUGAAGCAGACUACCACCAUCAUGUAAUAAACUUCUGAGAUAUCAGAAUCAAUGUGAAAUACAAAAAUUAGAAAUUAUUGGAGUUCCUUUAUGGCACAGCAGGUUAAGGAUCCAGCAUUGUCACUGAAGCAGCUUGGGUCAUUGCUGUACUGUGGGUUUGAUUCCUGGCCCAGGAACAUCCACAAGCUGUGGGUGUGGCCAAAAUAUUAGAAAUAAUUUUUAAAUUUAAAAUAAUUUAAAUCAUUUUUAAUUUCUGAGGCAUGCAGAAGUUCUGGGGCCAGGGAUCCAACCUGAGCCACAGCAGCAACCUGAGCCACAGCAAUGGCAACACUGAAUCCUUAACCUACUGAGCCAAUAGGGAACUCCAAAAAUUAGAAAUUAUUCAUUUAAAAAUAUUAUAGUUUUGUUGUUAAAAUAUUAGCACUCAGGCUUUUAUUUUUAAAUUUUUAAAUUUUUAAUUUUUUUUUGUCUUUUGUCUCUUUAGGGCCACACCUGUGGCACAUGGAGGUUCCCAGGCUAGGGACUGAAUUGGAGCUGUAGCUGCCAGCCUACACCACAGCCACAGCAACGAGGGAUCUGAGCUGUGUCUGCGACCUACACCACAGCUCACGACAAUGCUGGAUCCUUCACCCACUCAGCAAAGCCAGGGAUCAAACCUGAGUCCUCAUGAAUACUAGUCAGGUUCAUUAGCACUGAGCUACGUUGGGAACUCCCAGUACUCAUAUUUUUAGAGUUUGAUAUUCCAUUCAGGAAUAUAUAUUUUUUGGCCAUGCCAGUGGCAUGUGGAAGUUCCCAGGCCAGGAAUUAAACCCAUGCCACAGCAGUGACCUGAGCCACUGCAGUGACAAUGCCAGAUUCUUAACCUGCUGAGCCACCCAGGAACUCUCCACUCAGGAAUAUUUAUCUCUCAUCAAUAUAAGGU
rnacentral:lncRNA from 1 species